rnacentral:lncRNA from 1 species
CAACAACAAACCCAGUGUAUUCCCACCUGGUGGGGUCUGGGGGGGUAGGAUGUACACAGUCCAUACCUCUACCUCUGAAGAAGUAGAAAGGCUGUUUCCGAUAGACCCCCGGCUCAAGACACGCGGUACCACACAAACACAUAGUAAAGCACAGCACAAGGUUACAAGAUUACAUAACAUAAAUACGGCACCCAUAAGUAAUCUAAAACA